rnacentral:rRNA from 1 species
AGUGAACGCUGGCGGUAGGCCUAACACAUGCAGGUCGAACGGCAGCACAGUAAGAGCUUGCUCUUACGGGUGGCGAGUGGCGGACGGGUGAGGAAUACAUCGGAAUCUACUUUUUCGUGGGGGAUAACGUGGGGAAACUUACGCUAAUACCGCAUACGACCUACGGGUGAAAGCAGGGGAUCUUCGGACCUUGCGCGAUUGAAUGAGCCGAUGUCGGAUUAGCUAGUUGGCGGGGUAAAGGCCCACCAAGGCGACGAUCCGUAGCUGGUCUGAGAGGAUGAUCAGCCACACUGGAACUGAGACACGGUCCAGACUCCUACGGGAGGCAGCAGUGGGGAAUAUUGGACAAUGGGCGCAAGCCUGAUCCAGCCAUACCGCGUGGGUGAAGAAGGCCUUCGGGUUGUAAAGCCCUUUUGUUGGGAAAGAAAAGCAGCAGGUUAAUACCCCGCUGUUCUGACGGUACCCAAAGAAUAAGCACCGGCUAACUUCGUG